ACUCCUACGGGAGGCAGCAGUGGGGAAUUUUGGACAAUGGGGGCAACCCUGAUCCAGCAAUGCCGCGUGUGUGAAGAAGGCCUUCGGGUUGUAAAGCACUUUUGUCCGGAAAGAAAUCGCACUGGUUAAUACCUGGUGUGGAUGACGGUACCGGAAGAAUAAGGACCGGCUAACUACGUGCCAGCAGCCGCGGUAAU
rnacentral:rRNA from 1 species